rnacentral:rRNA from 1 species
UACGUAGGGUGCAAGCGUUGUCCGGAAUUAUUGGGCGUAAAGAGCUCGUAGGCGGUCUGUCGCGUCGGAUGUGAAAAUCAGGGCUCAACCCUGGACCUGCAUUCGAUACGGGCAGACUAGAGUUCGGUAGGGGAGACUGGAAUUCCUGGUGUAGCGGUGAAAUGCGCAGAUAUCAGGAGGAACACCGGUGGCGAAGGCGGGUCUCUGGGCCGAAACUGACGCUGAGGAGCGAAAGCGUGGGGAGCGAACAGGAUUAGAACUAC